UUCCCUGUCUAAGCCCUCGCCGGAGAGAAGCGAGGUGCAGAAUCGAAGACAGCGGUCGUUCCCGCCCCCAUUCGCGUUUCACCGCCGAUCCUCCUGAGAAUGAGAAGCCGGCUCCAUCCGACGGCGGCGAGAGGAACAAAUCCG